AGUGGCGGACGGGUGAGUAACGCGUGAGUAACCUGCCUUUCAGAGGGGGAUAACGUUCUGAAAAGAACGCUAAUACCGCAUAACAUCAAUUUAUCGCAUGAUAGGUUGAUCAAUGGAGCACUGAGGUGAAAGAAGGACUCGGGUCCCCUUCACCUGUUGGCGGGGUAGCGGCCCCCCAGAGCGGACAUCGGGUACCGGGGUGAGAAGUCGAACGGCCCCGAUGGGGAUUGAACCCGGCCCCAGAUUCUUACGGGAGCCACCAGUGGGGAAUCUUGACCAAUGGGGAGAACCCUAAGGCACAGACCCGGCAUACGGAACAGAGUCUUUCGAGUGGUAACCUGCUUUCAGCAGGGAAGAGUCAAGACUGUACAUGCAGAAGAAUCCCCGGCUAACUACGUCCCCGCAGCCGCGGUAAUAUGUAGGGGGCGAGUGUUAUCCGGAUUCAUUGGGUGUAAAGCGCGUGUAGGCGGCCCCACAUCCCGGGGGUAGAUAGUCGGGGGGCUCAACCCCCCGAAGCCCCCGGAACCUCCGCGGCUUGGGUCCGGUAGGGGAGGGUGGAACACCCGGUGUAGCGGUGGAAUGCGCAGAUAUCGGGUGGAACACCGGUGGCGAAGGCGGCCCUCUGGGCCGAGACCGACGCUGAGGCGCGGAAAGCUGGGGGAGCGAACAGGAUUAGAUACCCUGGUAGUCCCAGCCGUAAACGAUGGACGCUAGGUGUGGGGGGACGAUCCCCCCGUGCCGCAGCCAACGCAUUAAGCGUCCCGCCUGGGGAGUACGGCCGCAAGGCUAAAACUCAAAGGAAUUGACGGGGGCCCGCACAAGCAGCGGAGCAUGUGGCUUAAUUCGAAGCAACGCGAAGAACCUUACCAGGGCUUGACAUAUGGGUGAAGCGGGGGAGACCCCGUGGCCGAGAGGAGCCCAUACAGGUGGUGCAUGGCUGUCGUCAGCUCGUGUCGUGAGAUGUUGGGUUAAGUCCCGCAACGAGCGCAACCCCCGCCGCGUGUUGCCAUCGGGUGAUGCCGGGAACCCACGCGGGACCGCCGCCGUCAAGGCGGAGGAGGGCGGGGACGACGUCAAGUCAUCAUGCCCCUUAUGCCCUGGGCUGCACACGUGCUACAAUGGCCGGUACAGAGGGAUGCCACCCCGCGAGGGGGAGCGGAUCCCGGAAAGCCGGCCCCAGUUCGGAUUGGGGGCUGCAACCCGCCCCCAUGAAGUCGGAGUUGCUAGUAAUCGCGGAUCAGCAUGCCGCGGUGAAUGCGUUCCCGGGCCUUGCACUCACCGCCCGUCAAG
rnacentral:rRNA from 1 species